UACGUAGGGUGCAAGCGUUGUCCGGAAUUAUUGGGCGUAAAGAGCUCGUAGGCGGUUUGUUGCGUCGGCUGUGAAAUCCCGAGGCUCAACCUCGGGUCUGCAGUCGAUACGAGCAAACUAGAGUUCGGCAGGGGAGACUGGAAUUCCUGGUGUAGCGGUGAAAUGCGCAGAUAUCAGGAGGAACACCGGUGGCGAAGGCGGGUCUCUGGGCCGAUACUGACGCUGAGGAGCGAAAGCGUGGGGAGCGAACAGG
rnacentral:rRNA from 1 species